rnacentral:rRNA from 1 species
UACAGAGGUCUCAAGCGUUGUUCGGAUUCAUUGGGCGUAAAGGGUGCGUAGGCGGCGCGGUAAGUCGGGUGUGAAAUCUCGGAGCUUAACUCCGAAACUGCAUUCGAUACUGCCGUGCUUGAGGACUGGAGAGGAGACUGGAAUUUACGGUGUAGCGGUGAAAUGCGUAGAUAUCAUCUGGAACGCCAAUGGUGAAAACAGCUCGCUGGGGGUGUGCAGACGCUGAGACACGAAAGCCAGGGGAGCGAACGGG